rnacentral:rRNA from 1 species
UACGUAUGGUGCAAGCGUUAUCCGGAUUUACUGGGCGUAAAGGGAGCGCAGGCGGCGCGCCAAGUCUGAUGUGAAACCCCGGGGCUCAACCCCGAGCAUGCAUUGGAAACUGGCGGGCUGGAGUGCCGGAGAGGUAAGCGGAAUUCCUAGUGUAGCGGUGAAAUGCGUAGAUAUUAGGAGGAACACCAGUGGCGAAGGCGGCUUACUAGACGGCAACUGACGCUGAGGCUCGAAAGCGUGGGGAGCAAACAGG